GGUAUCAAUCCAUCCUGGCACAUCAGUC
rnacentral:piRNA from 1 species